AAAUGGUUUACUGUCAUAGCAUAGUUUAAUUAAUAUGAAAAAUAUAUUUAUAUAUCAUCUAAAUGUCUUUAAAAUGCUGUGGGAUGGUUUUCAUAAUUGAUAUUAAAUUUCUUGUAAAAAAAGCAAUGGUAUGAAAAUUACAAAAAGAGUCAUCAAGUUACAUGUUUAUAAAUAAUGCUGUUCCACUUGAGGAAUAAGCUUCCCACAGCAUUGAUUCUAUCUCAGCACAAAUAACUCAUCGCAAAAUACUACACACUUGCCAGGGCUGUUUUCAUAGCCUUUGGAAAUAGAGUGCUUAAUAACUAGACUCAUUAAUGCUAAUGGUAAAUCAGUGAGAUUAAAUAUUUCUAUAAAUCAUUUCAUUAAUAAAACAGAGGGCCCAUUAAAGAACUAUUGAACUGUUAAGCUGCAAUAUUUCAGAAUCAGCAUUUUAUAAACAUUUCAAUUAGCAUAGGCUGACAACAUCCUUAAAAGGCACAGCACUCCAAUGCCAAAGGAUAGAAAAGCAUUCACUGGUCAAGUGAAUAAAAUCGUGAAGAAUGCCAUUUUCUUCAGGAUAUUGUAAUGUACAGUAGCAUUAUAUAUAAAAACAAUGGAGAUUACAUAUUUGUAUAUAUUUAUAACCAUAUUCUGUCUCUUGUAGCUUUCAAGAACCAGCUGAAGGACGAUAUGUUAUGAUAUUCAUUUGUACACUCUAUCAUCUUACUAUUAAUCUUAGGUGGAUCAUGGACCUUGAAUGAAACCCAUUAACUCUAAAGUAGGGAAUACUUCAACAAUAAAAGAACAUCAUAGUUCAUAAUAACCUUCAGAAUUCAAAGGAUUGGCAGAUUUCACCUGGAUGUCUGGGGACCAUGAUCCACCUUGUAAGAAGUUCAAAUAUCCUGAGGUUGCCAAACUCUGAGAAGCCUAAACCACAAGAAGAGCCUAAGCGGAUGAUUGGAUGAUUUGCUUUGCAGAAAAUGAAAUACAAAGACCAAGACCAUGGAGGAGACAGACUGGCCAGUAGAUCCUCUGUUAGACACCCCAACUGAAGCUACUUUCAUCAGAGGCUAAGCAUCCAGCCUAAGAACCAAGUUCAUUGCAAGUUUAUGACACAUAACGUUAUUAGUGAAAUGAAAUGGUUAAACCAGGUGCUUUUAGGGUAGUGUGUUACAAAGAAAUAGAUAACCAAGAUGAUGUUAGCAUAAGACUCCUCAGAUUUCAACAAAUCUGAAUUUAUGAAGAAAACCAAUGUUUCAAAGUUAUUUUUCCUUUCCUUAUACCUCCUGAUUGAUGCAUUCUUUUGUUGUUUUUAAUAAGAAUCAUUAACUGUAAUAACACAUCCAAAGUCACUCAAAUAGUUUGGCUUUCAAUAAAUGAACCAUGCAAUAUUGACAUUUACACUAGUUAAUCUUCCUAGGGGAUGAAUUUUACCAGCUAGGAAAAUUACUUUGUAUUUACCUGCUGAAGUCUUUAAAAAAAAAAAAAAAAAGCUAAAAAAAAUUGUUUCCAUCUCAGGAAACAUUUUAAUACAAUUUCUCCUUUUUAGACAAUGUUUCUUAGUAUUUUAUAAUAAAUUAUGAUUUUAAAUAAAAUUGAAUACCUAAAGAAAAUAUAUUUUACAAAGGAUUAACUGUAUUUCAAUAUAGAUAUGUAUUUCCUUAAGAACAUUUUGGGUAUAGUGGAUAUGAUUGGCUUUAUUAAUUUAGAAUAUUUGUAUUCAAUGAAAUAUUUAUUUCGAAGAAUUUCCCAGUGAUUAAACUUCUGUUUGCUACCACAGUGACUGAUUGUGCAUACACUAUAUUUCUGGAUAAGAAUAUUAGAGUGAAAAAGUAAACUGUGGAAUAUAUUAACAAGUGUUUUUGUGUUAAGGAUUUGUCAUCUGAAAAUACACUGAAAAUAAUAUGAGACUUAAAAUGAUUGAACGGAAAUAAAAAAAAAUUGUAUUAGCAGGGUACAGGACCAACAUUAGUAAGACAGUUAAAUAAAUAUAGAUGCCAAAUGUCAAAAGAGGAUGAAAUCUGUACAUUUAAUCUUAUAAUUUUAAAAUAUUCAUACUGAAAUUAAUAUUUUUAAUAACCAUCAUUGAAGUUUGCCUAAAAUGCUGCAAUAUUUCAUUGACCAUCUUACAUUAUUAAGAUUUAAUUUUGUGAGGUCAUGAUAUAUAGAGUUUUAAAGAAAACUAACAAAUGUUAUCUAAAUAUUUUAGCCAAAAUAAAUACCUGGAAAAAAUAUACUUUUAUCCAUGAUUAAUAAUAGUUAUUAUUUCAUUUAAAGGUGAUCAUAUUAGUUGAUAUAAUAUAUCAUUAUUUUAUUUAGUAAGAGGUAUUAGCUAAUAUGGGAGGCUUUGAAACAAGAUUUCCCAGGUUCAAAGACUGGUU
rnacentral:lncRNA from 1 species